rnacentral:rRNA from 1 species
CGCCUCCCUCCGCCGCCACUCAGACUCCGUACGGGACGGCGAGCAGGUGGGGAAGUAGUUGGACAAGUGGGCGCGAAGCCUGAUCCAGCAAUGCCGCGUGUGUGAAGAAGGCUUCGGUUGUAAGCACUUUAUCAGGAACGAAAUACCACGGUUAAUACCUAUGGGCUGACGGUACCUGAGGAAUAAGCACCGGCUAACUUCGUGCCAGCAGCCGCGGUAAUUC